CAGUCGCCGCGGGAAUACGGAGGAUCCAAGCGUUAUCCGGAUUUAUUGGGUUUAAAGGGUGCGUAGGUGGCCUGUUAAGUCAGGGGUGAAAGACGGUAGCUCAACUAUCGCAGUGCCUUUGAUACUGACGGGCUUGAAUGAACUAGAGGUAGGCGGAAUGUGACAAGUAGCGGUGAAAUGCAUAGAUAUGUCACAGAACACCAAUUGCGAAGGCAGCUUACUAUGGUUUUAUUGACACUGAGGCACGAAAGCGUGGGGAUCAAACAGGAUUAGAUACCCCGGUAGUCCCUGUCUCUUAUAA
rnacentral:rRNA from 1 species